CUAACAAAGAUGAAUUAACAAAUGCUUUUCGCGCCUUGUUGCUAAUAUGGGAAUCUCAACUGCAUGGGGAUCUGUUCAAACAAUGACAAUAGAAAUUUAAUCCAACCGUGAUCAGAAAUAUAGGAUUUGGUACACUGAGUGUUACUGGGCGUAUUGGCGCUAUUGUUGGCCCUCAGCUGGUGUAUUUGAAUACCUAUAUACCAGGGCUUUUAUACUACGCAUGCGCGGCAAUAUCAAUUAUAUGUGUAGUCGGAAUACUUUUCUUACCUGAAACAAUGGACAGAAAUUUGAAAGACAGAAUAAAGCAAGAGUUUGAUCUAGAAAAUGCUGUCAUUCAUGACAGCAUUAAAAAUAACGACAAAAACAAAGAAUCACGUGAGAUCAACAUAAAAGAACCGACAGGACCAAUUACAAAAGACAGUAGAAAGUAUCCUGAUGUUACUGAUAGUAAAAAGACUAUUCCUUAUUCUGUCUCUUCAAAAACAGAAACUACUCAUAUGUGAAUAACAGAGAAAUAUAUUGCAAUGGGAAAUAUACGAUUUAUAUGCGCUUGCUGAAAUUACAUCAGCGUUACCUGAUGGAAAUUAAGUUUAUUGAAACAAAAUUAAUGUUAAAUAUGUAGAAGGUAGUGUAAUAAAACAACCGUCUCGUAUAACCCCUGGAUUGUGCUUAUUAAAAAGAUAUCUGAUACAAUCUAUUGUGAUAAAGUUAUACACAUCAUAUCAAGACAAAAGCAAAGCACAGAAGGCGCUGAAUUUGAAUGUCAGAAAGGUGAAGGUUGUGAGAUUAUAAACCAAUUUGUUUUUGUAUAGUGCCAUCAAUGCUGUUUCCAGUGUUUUAACUGUAGUAAAUUGGCUAAUUGCAACACUGUUGUUCAAUUCAAUGUUUAUUUGACUUAAACAAUUGAAAAUAUUGAAUUGCCUUAACUGGGAUUUGAACUCCAGACCUCUCGCUUCCUUAGCGAGCGUGCAAACCCCUCGGCCCCGGUUAAGUUCUAUCUUAA